GUGGCAGUGUUUUUAAUGGAACCGGUUUUUUUGUGAGAAAUCAUAUAAUCGUGUAAUGUUUUGUUUUGAAGUUCGCUAAGGACUAUGAAGCUCAAGACUGAGCAACAUGAGGAGGAGCAAAUAAUUGUGCUUAGCUUCCUAAAUUCUGCUGAUCACUGCCAGGGAGGUGUGUCGUAACUUACCAAAUUCUGUUGUACGCAUGAGUAGUUCCAUUCUAUUAGAAAGGUGCGGACGAACGCCACUAAAAUGUCAAUCACAUCCAUAUUUGUGUAGUUUUCUCAAAGGUCGAGGAUGAGAAAUUGAAUCAUUGCGUCAUGUUUUUUUUGGAGUUUGCUUGACAUUGGAAAACUCAAGAUUAAGCAACGUAUUGAAGAGAAAAAAAAUGGAUAUAAUAUC
rnacentral:lncRNA from 1 species